UACGUAGGGUGCAAGCGUUGUCCGGAAUUAUUGGGCGUAAAGAGCUCGUAGGCGGUCUGUCGCGUCGGCUGUGAAAACCCGUGGCUCAACCCCGGGCCUGCAGUCGAUACGGGCAGACUAGAGGUAUGCAGGGGAGAACGGAAUUCCUGGUGUAGCGGUGAAAUGCGCAGAUAUCAGGAGGAACACCGGUGGCGAAGGCGGUUCUCUGGGCAUUACCUGACGCUGAGGAGCGAAAGUGUGGGGAGCGAACAGG
rnacentral:rRNA from 1 species